rnacentral:tRNA from 1 species
GCGGGCGUGGCGGAAUUGGCAGACGCGCUGGAUUUAGGUUCCAGUGCCGAGAGGUGUAAGAGUUCGAGUCUCUUCGCCCGCACCA